GGAGUUAGCCGGUGCUUCUUCUGCGAGUAACGUCACAGAUGUAAGGUAUUAACUUACACCCUUUCCUCCUCGCUGAAAGUGCUUUACAACCCGAAGGCCUUCUUCACACACGCGGCAUGGCUGCAUCAGGGUUUUCCCCCAUUGUGCAAUAUUCCCCACUGCUGCCUCCCGUAGGAGUCUGGGCCGUGUCUCAGUCCCAGUGUGGCUGAUCAUCCUCUCAGACCAGCUAGGGAUCGUCUCCUAGGUGAGCCUUUACCUCACCUACUAGCUAAUCCCACCUGGGCUUAUCCAUCAGCGCAAGGCCCGAAGGUCCCCUGCUUUCCCCCGGUAGGGCGUAUGCGGUAUUAGCAGUCGUUUCCAACUGUUAUCCCCCACAAAUGGGCAAAUUCCCAGGCAUUACUCACCCGUCCGCCGCUCGUCAUCUUCAAAAGCAAGCUUUUGAAAUGUUACCGCUCGACUUGCAUGUGUUAGGUCGUCGCCGCCGACGCGUUCUACUACUGAGCGACGAGUACAACCUACUGA
rnacentral:rRNA from 1 species